rnacentral:rRNA from 1 species
CCUACGGGGGGCAGCAGUGGGGAAUAUUGGACAAUGGGGGGAACCCUGAUCCAGCGACGCCGCGUGAGUGAAGAAGUAUUUCGGUAUGUAAAGCUCUAUCAGCAGGGAAGAAAGAAAUGACGGUACCUGACUAAGAAGCCCCGGCUAAAGACGUGCCAGCAGCCGCGGUAAUACGUAGGGGGCAAGCGUUAUCCGGAUUUACUGGGUGUAAAGGGAGCGUAGACGGCGAUGCAAGUCUGAAGUGAAAGGCGGGGGCCCAACCCCCGGACUGCUUUGGAAACUGUAUGGCUGGAGUGCAGGAGAGGUAAGUGGAAUUCCUAGUGUAGCGGUGAAAUGCGUAGAGAUUAGGGGGAACACCAGUGGCGAAGGCGGCUUACUGGACUGUAACUGACGUUGAGGCUCGAAAGCGUGGGGAGCAAACAGGAUUAGAUACCCGAGUAGUC